AGGACGAACGCUGGCGGCGUGCUUAACACAUGCAAGUCGAGCGGUAAGGCCUCCUUCGGGGGGUACACGAGCGGCGAACGGGUGAGUAACACGUGGGUGACCUGCCCUCAGCUCUGGGAUAAGCCUGGGAAACCGGGUCUAAUACCGGAUGGGACUGCUUGCCGCAUGGUGGGUGGUGGUAAAGUUUUUUCGGCUGGGGAUGGGCCCGCGGCCUAUCAGCUUGUUGGUGGGGUGAUGGCCUACCAAGGCGGUGACGGGUA
rnacentral:rRNA from 1 species